GAUGAACGCUGGCGGCGUGCCUAAUACAUGCAAGUCGAGCGAACAGACGAGGAGCUUGCUCCUUCGACGUUAGCGGCGGACGGGUGAGUAACACGUAGGUAACCUACCUAUAAGACUGGGAUAACUUCGGGAAACCGGAGCUAAUACCGGAGAAUAUUUCGAACCGCAUGGUUCGAUAGUGAAAGAUGGCUUUGCUGUCACUUAUAGAUGGACCUGCGCCGUAUUAGCUAGUUGGUAAGGUAACGGCUUACCAAGGCAACGAUGCGUAGCCGACCUGAGAGGGUGAUAGGCCACACUGGAACUGAGACACGGUCCAGACUCCUACGGGAGGCAGCAGUAGGGAAUCUUCCGCAAUGGGCGAAAGCCUGACGGAGCAACGCCGCGUGAGUGAUGAAGGUCUUCGGAUCGUAAAACUCUGUUAUUAGGGAAGAACAAACGUGUAAGUAACUGUGCACGUCUUGACGGUACCUAAUCAGAAAGCCACGGCUAACUACGUG
rnacentral:rRNA from 1 species